AUUGAACGCUGGCGGCAGGCCUAACACAUGCAAGUCGAGCGAGCGGCGGACGGGUGAGGAAUGUCGGGGAAACUGCCUGAUGGAGGGGGAUAACUGCUGGAAACGGUAGCUAAUACCGCAUACCAUCAGAUGUGCCCAGAUGGGAUUAGCUAGUAGGUGGGGUAAUGGCUCACCUAGGCGACGAUCCCUAGCUGGUCUGAGAGGAUGACCAGCCACACUGGGACUGAGACACGGUCCAGACUCCUCCGGGAGGCAGCAGUGGGGAAUCUUGCACAAUGGGCGCAAUCCUGACUCAGCCAUGCCGCGUGUGUGAAGAAGGCCUUCGGGUUGUAAAGCACUUUCAGCGGUGAGGCGUUACCCGAAGAAGAAGCACCGGCUAACUCCGUGCCAGCAGCCGCGGUAAUAA
rnacentral:rRNA from 1 species